UACGUAGGGUGCGAGCGUUAAUCGGAAUUACUGGGCGUAAAGUGUGCGCAGGCGGCCGCGCAAGUCGAGUGUGAAAGCCCCGAGCUUAACUUGGGAAUUGCGCUCGAAACUACGUGGCUGGAGUGUGGCAGAGGAAGGUGGAAUUCCACGUGUAGCGGUGAAAUGCGUAGAGAUGUGGAGGAACACCAAUGGCGAAGGCAGCCUUCUGGGCCAACACUGACGCUCAUGCACGAAAGCGUGGGGGAGCAAACAGG
rnacentral:rRNA from 1 species